CGUGUGUGUGUGUGUGUGUGUGUGCACGCUUGUGGAGUUUAACUCCGAAAAGACAGGUAACCACAGGUUCCCGUUGAUCUUAUGAUGGACAUGCGAGGUGAUAUUUAACCAAAUGGUUCAUCAACGGCGAAAUAAAAGCCUCUUAUUUACGAGACCGGUCUGAGAAA